AGAGUUUGAUCCUGGCUCAGGAUGAACGCUGACAGAAUGCUUAACACAUGCAAGUCGACUGGAAUUCUUCUUCGGAAGAUAGUACGGUGGCGGACGGGUGAGUAACGCGUAAAGAAUUUGCCCUUCAGACUGGGACAACUAACCGAAAGGUUAGCUAAUACCGGAUAUUAUGAGACCUCGGCAUCGAGGACUUAUGAAAGCUAUAUGCGCUGGAGGAGAACUUUGCGUCCCAUUAGGUAGUUGGUAGGGUAAUGGCCUACCAAGCCAACGAUGGGUAGCCGGCCUGAGAGGGUGAACGGCCACAAGGGGACUGAGACACGGCCCUUACUCCUACGGGAGGCAGCAGUGGGGAAUAUUGGACAAUGGACCAAAAGUCUGAUCCAGCAAUUCUGUGUGCACGAUGAAGGUCUUCGGAUUGUAAAGUGCUUUACAGGUGGGAAGAAGAAAGUGACGGUACCACCAGAAGAAGCGACGCUAAAUA
rnacentral:rRNA from 1 species